rnacentral:siRNA from 1 species
CUAGAUUUGAAAUCACAAUGCC